CUCUACGUCAUCAUCCCCUACACCUAUAUUACCCGUUAAAAACCUUCUAUGCUACCUCCCACCAAAAGAAAAACAUUAAUGCUCAAUCCCCACCAGUAUCUCAGGAUAGGUAUCACAAUACAGUGAGGUGGACUGAAAUCUCUACCUGCGAAAAAAGUCCAACUAUGUUGAGUUCUGCAUAACAGCGGCUUUCCACUGGGCCCAAAAAAGAAGCAAUGCCCAGCCAUCCAACCCAACAGCAAGAAAUUUGGAAAACGUGAUAACGACACA